CACGGGGGGGAGCAAGCGUUGUUCGGAAUCACUGGGCGUAAAGGGCGUGUAGGCGGUCAGGUAAGUGGGAUGUGAAAGCCCUCGGCUCACCCGAGGAUCUGCAUCUCAAACUGCCUGGCUUGAGUAUGGGAGAGGAUGAGGGAAUUCCUGGUGUAGCGGUGAAAUGCGUAGAUAUCGGGAGGAACACCAAUGGCGAAGGCAGCUUGCUGGGACGGUACUGACGCUGAGACGCGAAAGCGUGGGGAGCAAACAGG
rnacentral:rRNA from 1 species